GUAAAAGGUUGAUGUAAAUUGUAUUGAUUCAGAUAGUUCUUUGUAGUGUUUUGAAAAAAACAAUCUACGUACUCUUUUGAGGAAAACCCCAAAGAAAGCAUAUGUGGUUGUAACAUGACAAAAUGGCAAAAGAUCCAAGGGGUAUGAAUGCUUUUGCAAGACGCUGCUGGCGUGCAUUUUAGAUAGGAGUAAUAACUCACUAUGGAAUCUGCUUUACUGAAGACGUCGAGCAGCUCCAAAUGACGCGUUUGACUCACUCAAUUAAACCACCUCUAGUAAUUACAGCAAAUGUCAAAGGUUUUGUCCUUGGUGAGCACUGGAUUAUGAAAGAUCCAUCAACAUGACGGCACUAAACUGUGGAGGGACAACAACGGUGGAAUAAAUGGAACUUGAUGGAUUUUCUGCUUAAAAAUUUCCCUUUUCACCAGAAAUUUUUCCUGAGUCAACUUUAUCUUUAAAAGCAGAGCAAAGGAUGUAAUUCUAGCUAUUGGCUUUCAAUGAAGGUAACCAGAGAAUCUCCGUCCUUACACAAGAAAUGAAUAGGAACACGGCGACCUACCAGAGUGUACCCUGCCUCUUGCCCAAUGACAGAACCCUGCAAGAAUAAGCAGAUUGUGGAUGCUGUGUAACAGGGAUCUCUGCCCCACUGUCACUGACCUCUCUCUCCCGUGGCAUUCCUUCGAGAACCAUGCCAGAAAAAUACACACUCAGCAUGCUUGGGAGUAAAAGAAAAAAACCGUCGGAGGCUUUGAAAGCAUUUCACAUCCAUGUUUUCAUGUGCUGGCCAUGAAAAACUGCAGAGUUUAUAAAAGUUUUCAACACAUA